AUUGAACGCUGGCGGCAGGCCUAACACAUGCAAGUCGAACGAGUGGCGGACGGGUGAGUAAUGUAUGGGGAUCUGCCCGAUAGUGGGGGAUAACUACGGGAAACUGUAGCUAAUACCGCGUACCCUAGGAUGAGCCCAAGUGGGAUUAGGUAGUUGGUGAGGUAAAGGCUCACCAAGCCGACAAUCUCUAGCUGGUCUGAGAGGAUGACCAGCCAAAAUGGGACUGAGACAAGGCCCAGACUCCUACGGGAGGCAGCAGAGGGGAAAAUUGCGCAAUGGGGGUAACCCUGAGGCAGCCAUGCAGCGUGGGUGAAGAAGGCCUGCGGGUUAUAAAGCACUUUCAGAGAGGAGGCGUUACUCGCAGAAGAAGCACCGGCUAACUCCGUGCCAGCAGCCGCGGUAAUUC
rnacentral:rRNA from 1 species